rnacentral:rRNA from 1 species
AGUGAACGCUGGCGGUAGGCCUAACACAUGCAAGUCGAACGGCAGCACAGUAAGAGCUUGCUCUUCGGGUGGCGAGUGGCGGACGGGUGAGGAAUACAUCGGAAUCUACUUUUUCGUGGGGGAUAACGUAGGGAAACUUACGCUAAUACCGCAUACGACCUACGGGUGAAAGCAGGGGAUCUUCGGACCUUGCGCGAUUGAAUGAGCCGAUGUCGGAUUAGCUAGUUGGCGGGGUAAAGGCCCACCAAGGCGACGAUCCGUAGCUGGUCUGAGAGGAUGAUCACCCCCCCUGGACCGGGGACCCGGUCCAGCCCCCACCGGGAGGCCGCAGGGGGGAAUUUUGGACAAUGGGCGAAAGCCUGAUCCAGCCAUCCCGCGGGGGUGAAGAAGGCCUUCGGUUUGUAAAGCCCUUUUUUUGGGAAAAAAAAGCAGCAGGUUAAAACCCCGCUGUUCUGCCGGUCCCAAAAGAAGAAGCCCCGGCUAACUUCGU